UACGUAGGGUGCGAGCGUUAAUCGGAAUUACUGGGCGUAAAGCGUGCGCAGGCGGUUCGUUGUGUCGGUGGUGAAAGCCCCGGGCUUAACCUGGGAAUGGCCAUGGAAACUGGCGAACUGGAGUGUGGCAGAGGGGGGUGGAAUUCCGCGUGUAGCAGUGAAAUGCGUAGAGAUGCGGAGGAACACCGAUGGCGAAGGCAGCCCCCUGGGCCAAUUCUGACGCUCAGGCACGAAAGCGUGGGGAUCAAACAGG
rnacentral:rRNA from 1 species